GACGAACGCUGGCGGCGUGCUUAACACAUGCAAGUCGAGCGGUAAGGCCCUUCGGGGUACACGAGCGGCGAACGGGUGAGUAACACGUGGGUGACCUGCCUCUAGCUCUGGGAUAAGCCUGGGAAACUGGGUCUAAUACCGGAUAUGACUCCACGGCGCAUGUUGUGGGGUGGAAAGCCUUGUGUGGCUAGAGAUGGGCCCGCGGCCUAUCAGCUUGUUGGUGGGGUGAGGCCUACCAAGGCGACGACGGGUAGCCGGCCUGAGAGGGCGACCGGCCACACUGGGACUGAGACACGGCCCAGACUCCUACGGGAGGCAGCAGUGGGGAAUCUUGCGCAAUGGGCGAAAGCCUGACGCAGCGACGCCGCGUGAGGGAUGACGGCCUGGUU
rnacentral:rRNA from 1 species